GGGAAAUGAGAAGGAACUACUCAACUGUAGUAGCUUGCAGAUGUUAUGGCCAAAAGAUUCAUAAACAGCUUUUCUGCCUUCAGACUGGGAGGAGGAGAGGAGGAACACCUCAGCCCGUUUUCCCGUGACUCCCAGCCUUGCUCACUCAUCUUGAAAGCGAUGUGCUCCCUUGCCGUGGCAGCUCGCCCGCCCCACGCCCGGCUCAGCAUCGCUACACAGUUCCCGAGGUCUGGAUAUUACCAUCCAUCACAGCAGCUCUGGUUCCAGCGCUUGCUAAACGUCUGAAUUUCCUGCUGGCUCAAUGAACAGUUUUCAGCUUGUGGUACAUUAUAUAGCUACCGGGUGAAUGGGACUGAGCGUUCCCGUUUGGCUCCGAGUGCCUGUUCACCUGAGCUCGCUGGCAGGAUGAAUAGUUCACCGCGGUUCUAGUGCUAACCCCCUUUGUGAACUAGCAGUGAGCCAUGUACCUUAUUACAAAGGCCGACAGCUCCCUGGAAACUUAAAUCCACUCUUUCUCCUUUCCCUACCAUAGGGAGCUAUAAAAGAAAAGGACUUGGUUGGUAGGCAUGUAAUAUAACAAAAAAACCUCUGUUGUGGCAAGAUCCAGACUCCCCAGUAACAAUGAGGAUUAUGCUCUCGCAUGGAAAAUGCAGUUGCUAGUUUUAACUGCGGUACCUUAUUACAGAUUCCUACAGUGUACAUUUAUGUCAGGGGCUCGGAUGUUUAACUUAAGUCAAGUCCGGGUAGAAAGGAGAGCUCAGCAUCUUCCAUAUUUUUUGAUACAGGGGGAAAAGAUGCAGCUCGGUCUGCUGGUUUGAUGCUACCUUCCCCCAAACCGCUUCUCAGAGUUUUAAAUAGCCUGACACUGGCACUGGGCAGGAGCUGGCAGAAGAAUAGAUUUUUUUCAUCUAAUGGCUCGCCAAGGUUGUUUUCAAGAAAGAGAAGUAGGAGAAGAAGAAGAAAAA